AGAGUUUGAUUAUGGCUCAGGAUAACGCUGGCGGCGUGCUUAAUACAUGCAAGUCGAACGAAGCCCUUCGGUGCUUAGUGGCGAACGGGUGAGUAACGCGUUGGUAACCUGCCCCAAAGUGGGGGAUAACAGUUCGAAAGGACUGCUAAUACCCCAUGAUCAUCAGGAUUAGAUGCUUGAUGAUGAAAGGAGUAAUCCGCUUUGGGAGGGGCCUGCGUCCCAUCAGCUAGUUGGUAGGGUAAUGGCCUACCAAGGCUUUGACGGGUAGGGGACCUGAGAGGGUGGCCCCCCACACUGGCACUGAAACACGGGCCAGACACCUACGGGUGGCAGCAGUAGGGAAUAUUGGACAAUGGGCGAAAGCCUGAUCCAGCAACGCCGCGUGCGCGCGGUUCGUUGAGCGCUUUUAGGGGAGGAAAAUCCCCUGAAUAAGCCUCGGCAACUACGUGCCAGCAGCCGCGGUAAAACGUAGGAGGCAAGCGUUAUCCGGAUUUAUUGGGCGUAAAGCGCGUGCAGGCGGCUUGGUAAGUUGGAUGUGAAAGCUCCUGGCUUAACUAGGAGAGGUCGUUCAAUACUAUCAAGCUAGAGAAUGGGAGAGGGAAGUGGAAUUCCGGGUGUAGUGGUGAAAUGCGUAGAUAUCCGGAGGAACACCAGUGGCGAAAGCGGCUUCCUGGACCUUUCUGACGCUAAGACGCGAAAGCUAGGGGAGCAAACGGGAUUAGAGACCCCGGUAGUCCUAGCUGUAAACGAUGUAGACUUGGCGUUGGCGGAGUUAAUCUGCCAGUGCCGGAGCUAACGCGUUAAGUCUACCGCCUGGGGACUACGACCGCAAGGUUAAAACUCAAAGGAAUUGACGGGGACCCGCACAAGCAGCGGAGCGUGUGGUUUAAUUCGAUGCUACACGAAGAACCUUACCAGGGUACAUGAAGUGAGGAAUCCGAAAGGUGACCGUCGAGCUUCAAGGUGCUGCAUGGCUGUCGUCAGCUCGUGUCGUGAGAUGUUCGGUUAAGUCCGCUAACGAGCGCAACCCUCACUGUGUGUUACAUGUGUCACACGGGACUGCCGGUUUUAAGCCGGAGGAAGGUGGGGAUGACGUCAAGUCAGCAUGGCCUUUAUAUCCUGGGCUACACACACGCUACAAUGGUCGGUACAAUAGGUUGCCAAGCCGCGAGGCGGAGCCAUCCAUAAAGCCGGCCUCAGUUCAGAUUGUAGGCUGCAACUCGCCUGCAUGAAGAUGGAGUUGCUAGUAACCGCAGGUCAGCAAUACUGCGGUGAAUACGUUCCCGGGUCUUGUACACACCCCCGUC
rnacentral:rRNA from 1 species